CCUACGGGAGGCAGCAGUGAGGAAUAUUGGUCAAUGGGCGCGAGCCUGAACCAGCCAAGUAGCGUGAAGGAUGACUGUCCUACGGGUUGUAAACUUCUUUUAUAAAGGAAUAAAGUGAGGCACGUGUGCCCUUUUGUAUGUACUUUAUGAAUAAGGAUCGGCUAACUCCGUGCCAGCAGCCGCGGUAAUACGGAGGAUCCGAGCGUUAUCCGGAUUUAUUGGGUUUAAAGGGUGCGUAGGCGGUCCGUUAAGUCAGUGGUCAAAUUGAGGGGCUCAACCCUUUCCCGCCGUUGAAACUGGCGGUCUUGAGUGGAAGAGAAGUAUGCGGAAUGCGUGGUGUAGCGGUGAAAUGCAUAGAUAUCGCGCAGAACCCCGAUUGCGAAGGCAGCAUGCCGGCUUCCGACUGACGCUGAGGCACGAAAGCGUGGGGAUCGAACAGGAUUAGAUACCCUGGUAGUC
rnacentral:rRNA from 1 species